rnacentral:rRNA from 1 species
UACAGAGGUCUCAAGCGUUGUUCGGAUUCAUUGGGCGUAAAGGGUGCGUAGGCGGCGCGGUAAGUCGGGUGUGAAAUCUUGGAGCUUAACUCCGAAACUGCAUUCGAUACUGGCGAUCUCGAGUCCGGGAGAGGUGAGUGGAACUGCGAGUGUAGAGGUGAAAUUCGUAGAUAUUCGCAAGAACACCAGUGGCGAAGGCGGCUCACUGGCCCGGUACUGACGCUGAGGUGGCGAAAAGCGUGGGGAGCAAACAGG